GACGAACGCUGGCGGCGUGCUUAACACAUGCAAGUCGAACGGUGAAGGGGUCUGCUUUUGUGGGCCCUGGAUGAGUGGCGAACGGGUGAGUAACACGUGAGUAACCUGCCCCCUUCUUCUGGAUAACCGCAUGAAAGUGUGGCUAAUACGGGAUAUUCUGGGUCUGUCGCAUGAUGGGUCUGGGAAAGAUUGCGCCUUUGGGUGUUGUUGGUGGGGGAUGGGCUCGCGGGCUAUCAGCUUGUUGGUGGGGUGAUGGCCUACCAAGGCGGUGACGGGUAGCCGGCCUGAGGGGGUGGGCGGUCACACUGGGACUGGGCCACGGCCCAGACUCCUACGGGAGGCAGCAGUGGGGGAUAUUGCACAAUGGGAGCAAGCCUGAUGCAGCGACGCCGCGUGAGGGAUGGAGGCCUUCGGGUUGUAAACCUCUUUCGCCAGUGAAGCAGGCCUGCUCCUUGUGGGUGGGUUGACGGUAGCUGGAAAAGAAGCGCCGGCUAACUACGUG
rnacentral:rRNA from 1 species